GCCAGGUGUGGGUGAUGCACACCUGUAAUCCCAGUGGCUUGGGAGGCUGAGGCAGGAAGAUUGCCAAAUUCAAGGCCAGCCUUAGCACCUUAGGGAAGCUCUAAGUAACUCUGGAGAUCCUGUCUCAA
rnacentral:sRNA from 1 species